GCUAUUAUUGACAAUUGCCCUUGAUUUUUUUCUUUAAUUAAAAAAAUAUUAAUUUUAAUAUUUAUGUUUUUAACUAAAACAACUUAUUUAUUUAAACAUAUGAAGUUAUGGUGUGAAAGUCUAUAAUAUAUUGUUCAAAAGAAGAAAAUAGAUGAAUAGAAGGAGAACAUGUGUGGGUUACUGCAUGCGACUUGAAGGUAAGGAUCUGACUGGUUCAAACUCAGCGGUUACGGGAGUUUGUGGAUGCGAAUGGUUGCGGUUUCUAUCGGUUUUAAAAGAUUUGUACGACUGGUACUGCAGUUAAAAAUUGGUGCGUUUGCGGGUGACUUAUGACCGGUUAACUAUCAAAUGCGGUAACAAUCAAAUAAUAAAUUAACAAUAUUUACAUUUAAUAUAAUUAUAAAAAUAUCAAAAAUCAUAAAAUUAUAAUAAAUAUAAAAUUUAUAUUUAGAAAGUUAUAAUUUUAAUUUUUUUAAAUUUAUUGAAAUUGUUUUUAUUAUAAAAUUUUAUAAUAUUAAUUAAAAUAUAAUAGAUAUAUUUUCUUAAUUUCAAUUUUAAAAUUUUCAUUAAAUAUUUUUAUUUUUGUAUAUAUAUUGUUUAAAAAAAAGAAAAAAAUUUUACCCUCCCGCAACCGCAAACUCUAGCUGGAGCCAACUUUUGAAUUUAUAAGAUUCGAAGCGGUUUGAAGCGGUUUGAAGCGAUUUGAGUGAUUGUUGCAAACCGCCGACAACCGCUACCAACCGUAAAAGCUGCGUUUGCGGGUGGUAGCGGAAAAACCGGUCACCCUCUAAAUCGAUAUGGGGUUCACUAGCGACUAAUCGUUGACAAAAAAAAUUAGUGACUAAUCAGCUGACUAACUAAUAACAAUUCAAACUUGUUAAUAUUUUUGCAAGCAAAUGUAGUUACCGUGGCUGGACUUUACACAACCAACUACCCCUACAAAGUCAGUCUCUUUUUCCUUUUACGUUAAUUGUUUUUUAUAUCAACUAAAUUUAAUUUAUAUAUUUCAUUUAGCAUCUACAGUAGCUCACAGUUACUAAAUUCUAAUUAACAACGUCUUUAGAGCAUUAGUAUUGACGGAUAUCUUGAACAUUUCUUCGCGAAAAAGUAAUACUUGAAGUUUUAGGAUGAAACACAACUAUUAAGAAACUUGUCUUUUAUCUAUAAAAAUAUUAUUAAAAUAUAAAUUAAAAAUUAUUUAACCAAUCACAAAACAGACUACAAAAUAUGAUUAGUUACACAGUUUUUGAUAAAGUUAAAAAGUACAUUGAAUUAUGAAAAUAUCAUCUAUUUUGAAACAUCAAAAACUCUCUAAAACAUCAUCUAUUUUGAAACGGAAGGAAUAGAAAAAUUAUCAAAAAUUCACCUCUAAAUAUUAUAACAAACAAAACUAUGUUCUAACUCAUCUCUAUUUCUUUUAAACAAAAAUUGCUAUUUUCUAAAUAUAUAAGCAAAACGGUAUUCCUUUAUUAUAGAGUUUAACUUCUUCUUUUUAAAAAAAAAAAAAGAUGAUCUUUCACUUUUAAAAUGUGUACAGUGUACUUAUAACUAAAAUAAAGUUUGCUAUAAUUUAUUUUAUAUGUAAGAGUUUCCUUAGUUCAUUGGUUUUAUUAAGUGUUUGUUAAUACUUUUAAAUUAGGAGAUCUGUGUUUUGAAUGAAAAAAUCUAAAUUAUGCAUAAAAUCGAAGAAAUGAUAUCCAAAAAAUCUUCAAUAUGGUGUAAUUAAGAUAUAUUUGUUAGACAUGAAUUUCAUAAGACGGUUUAAGAUGGUGUAAUUAUAAGUAAAUUUUCAUGAGGCAUAUAGAAUUAUCCGUUGUAAAAUUGUCUUUGUAUUGUUUUUCAUAGUUUGCAAAUGAUCUAACUAACCAUAGUUAAAAGAAAAUUAUAUAUAGUGAAAAUAAUAAUUUUUAUUUUUUAUUCUAUAUUUUGAGAAGAACUAUUUUACAAAAGUAUAUUAAAGUAAACUUAAUUUCUAUUAUAUAAUUUUUUAUGUAAAAAGUAGCAAAAAUACAUGUAUGAUGAGCAUUUCUAAUAUAUAAUUCUAUUUUCCUCCAAAAAAAUAACUAUAUAAUGAAAUGUGGUUUUGUUCUAAUCCUAUUCCAUUUUGAAAAAAAAUAGAGUAAAAAUUAAACAAAAAUACAUCACUAUAUUUAUAUAGAGUAAACUCAUUUUAUAUUAUUAUAUAAUAAAAAUAAUAUGAAAUUUGAAUAUUUAUUACUUUAAAUUCUAUUUUGAAAUAAAAAAUGUAAUGGAGCUGGAGAUGUAAUGCACCAAUCACCAUCAAACAAGAGAACACACGGUCAGAACGUCUUUCAUCAAUCUAAUAGUUUAGCUAAAAUUUUAGUACGAUAACAAAAUUGCUAAAAGUCUGAAAGUAACAUUAUGAAGUUUGAAAUAGAGAUAUUGUGUUUAUAUCAAUGAUUACUAUCAAUAUAUACUAUACUUAACAAAUAUCUACUAUUUUACCAAAAAAAUAAUAUAUAUACACUAUACACUUAAAACAUACAGCAGAUAAGCUUGCUUAUCAAACGUUGUCUGUAAAUUGUAUAUGUUCGUUUGGCAUUUGUGUUUACUAGUUUCAUAGUGUAAUUAACAAAUCGCGAAAUAAAAAGCCAUUUAUAGAUAUUGUAUCUAUGCGUAUGGCAUUUAUGUCCACUAUUUUACAACGUAAUUAAGAAAAUCAUAAGAAGUCUAAAAUACUCAGACAAUAGUUAGCUGUAAUAUAGGAGAAAAAACAGAUAGACCUAAAGAGAAUUAUAUGUCUACUUUUUUGAAUGAAAUUAUGUCUAUUUAACUGAUAAAUAGAAUAAAACAAUAGUAGAUUGAGAACAUGAGUGUGGCCCAGUUAUAAUUUAAAUGUUAGCUAGGCAUGGUCGAUAAACAAGCAAAAGGCCAAAAUUUUGAGAACUACAACGACAAGAGUGGUAUGGUAUGCGUGUAAAGGAGCUUUUAACAAUGAGACUCGCAGAAACCACUGAAUGCAAUUAUGCCUUUUACCGAUUUUAUUACUUUUAAGGGUUACCUUUUCAGCAUUUUUUUUUUUGAAUUACACUCGUAUUGAUAUUGUUUUUUGAAAGAACUUGCUAUGAUUUUAUUCUGCCUCCUAUUACUCUGAAAUUUAAAUGUGAACUUGCUUUGGACAUAUCAGGACAUAUAAUAAAAUAUAUCAAAUUUGUACAUAAACAGUUUUUUGCUUUCUGGCAGAAAACUGUGAAUAUUGGAUUUAUAUGAUUUACGAAGUUAUUUCGGUGAGUACAUUCAAUUCAUCGAAACGUGUUUAAUUUGACAAAACAACCAAAAUAUUUUCUGUUAAUAUAAUAUUUUAACCCGAGACGACACAUACCAAACAUUUCUCUAUGAUCACGUAAAUUUAUUUGAAAUAAGAUAUUUGAGUCAAGAGGAUUUGCGUAUUGCUAAUCCGAAUGCGUGUUUCAUAGUACAUUUAGAUCAAUUUUGAAUAGUUCGUAAGAGAUACUUUGGUACUAAUUUCCAUUCGUAAAGUGUUAUGUUAGCCACUAAUUGUAUAUUCUCUGUACUGAAUACACUUUCAAUUUGUCAAAAUCGCGUCUGCUAAUUCUAGAUUAAAAAUAUCCUGAAACGUUAUCAAAGACUAAGCGAUAAUCAAACUGGAUAAACGGAUACAAACAAAAAGGCAUUGUUUACACCCAAUUUGAUGAUUCACGCCAAGCUUUUUCCAUCUUUUCCAAGGCCAAAUCAUUUCUCCUUUUAAAUGUUCAUUUUAUAAAAUCAAUUUAUUUUCAUUCCACUACGCACCAUUUUAAACGAAAAGAGAUUUAUCCCUUUUUCGACGUGUUUAUAAAUAUUACCUUAACACUUAAAAAUUGGUAAGUUUUAUGAAUUCUAUUUUUGUUUUUUUGGGGAAUGUGUAUGGAAUGAUGUAUAAAAUGCUUUUGGGGAGCUUGAGUGUAAGCCAAGUCUUUUAAACCUUUUUGUUAUUCUUCUUAAGCUUUUGAUGUAUUUUGUACCUAAUUAUAAUUUGUAGAAAAGCUACAUAACUUUCUGAAAAAAAAAGAUAAGAAAAACAUAAAAUAAACAGUGCAAUAUUUUUUUUGACGUCACAUAUAUAUUCUUUUUGUAGGCAUUCAAAUAUAAACUCCAAAGUCCAUAUCAGACGAUGUAACUCAUCGAGCCACAUGUAUAUUAGUUGAUUAAUACCAAUGGCUACGAGGCUACGUCUUUCAAUUGUUUUUUCCAAGUUAAUAACGAAUCUUUUUAUGACAAAAACGCACCAAAUGGAAAAAGUAGCAAACGUAUUCUUAACUUUUUUAAGAAAUAUAUGAUUUAACAGGGAUCAUACCAUUCAUACAUUUGAAUCGAGUACCAUGUCAAAUACCUUUUUGAAUAAUGUUCAAAGCUUUCUAGGAUGGUUUGUCAAACGAGAUAUGAUUGCUCAUUGACACAUAAGACUUAUACGAACGUAGCCAUCACGGAGAGAGAUAGAGAUAUGACAUUGGUGACGAUGAUGAUGAUAAUGGGGCCAAGGUAACAAUGUUCCCCACUCGAAAUUGUCGCCGAAAAUUAAUCCUACCAUUCCUCUUUAUCAAGUCACCGUAUCAUUAUCAAAAUUCAUAUAAAUUCAUAUGAGCACUUCCUUUCUUCGUUUGCGUGUUUGGUUUAUAGUUGUUACUGCAGCAUCUUUUUUACAAACUAUUAAACUUGUAUAUUUUCAUAUGUACGCGGUAAAAGAUUGUUUGCUCAUAAUUGAUAUGUACGCGAGAUCAUCCGCAUCUAGUGGCGUGGGGAUUGAAAACCUUUUUCAUGGCGUAAAUACUCGGGAGAAAAGUACAAAUAAUCAUAGUGUGGUGGAAUUUGAGUUUCAACCGUUGAAUACUUCUUUUGUAUUUAACGUAAAUCAUUUAUGAUGGAUGGGAAACAUAUGAAGCAUUUUAAGAACAUUUUAUUGUGUUAAAACAUCUUGAGUUACUUUGUCCAAAAAUACUAUAUUUUGUAUAAAGCCUUGGUAAAUUAAUAACAAACAAAACAUACAUAUUUCUUAGGAACGGAAAACAGAACUUGAUCGCAAUGAUCACAUACAUAUGGAAAUUUGGAUUGUGGGAAUAUUUAUAUAUAUAUAAAUCAAUUUGUUGGAACUGAAAAUAUAGGGAAAAAUUAAGAAAAGGGGAAUAGACAGACUCCAUUUGGUCUGAAACUGAAAUACAACUUUUACCUUUAUGGGUUGGCUAAAGGAGUGGGAAUGGCCCAUCCCCACCCUCUCACGUCUUGUCUCUUAUAUCCUUCUUUUCUCAUUAUCCUCUUUUAUUUACUGUUUUCAUAAUAAUUACAGACAGAAACACUAACUAGAAGUCUACAAACCAAGCAUUUCUUUGUGUCUUAUUCUCUUUAUUUGUUGUCUUAAUGUCUUUUGGCUUGGGUUCACUUUAGUUUACUUAGAGUUCAUUCAAAACUUUUUGACUCUUUAUCGUAAUUUGUAUGUUAAACAUGUAGCAUGAGUUAUGAGCCAUUUUUAUAUGAUUAAUAAAUAAUACACUCCAAGCAGUUUAGGCGUGUUUUUUUUUUUUUUUUUUUUUUUUUUUUUUUGAUGAAAUUUUCAAUUUAUUGAUCAAUCAGAAAAUGCCAUUUACAAAGAAUAGGCUAGCUAUAAAUUGGAACUUAAAACUAUAAAAGAAAAAAACUUUAUACUAGCUAAAUUUGUAAAAUUCUAAUCAAAGACUUCAAACCAUCUCCUAAGAAUUCUAUUGAACUUGUGACCCGCCUUGUAACCAAGAGAGCUAAUUCGAUUCUUGAUUCCUCUGUUAAUUGUUUUGAUCAUUUGAUCAGUUCCCUGAUGACCUUGUUGGUGCCUUCGUGUAUUCCGUUCUCGCCAAAUAUGGUACACGACAGCCUGGAACACUAGACGAAUGAGAAUCAUAUCCAUCUCAUUGGACGUGCCUGCUUGAAUAUACUUUAGCAUAUCAUGCCAGUCUGGGUUUAUCCUCCUUCCAACCAAUCUGCUAGCGAGACGAUCCCAUACUGUAUAAGAGUAUGGACAUGCGAAAAACAAAUGAUCUAGUGUCUCAUCUCUUUCACCACAUAACACACAGCCCUGGUGGAUUCCCCACUUUCUCAUUCUGUCCCCUGUAGAUAGCCUGUUCUGAAUCGCAAGCCAGACUAGGAAUGCAUGCCUAGGGAUCCCUUGUGUGAACCAAACACUUCUACUCCAAACUACUUCAUCUCGCUUGCUCCGUAUCUGCUCCCAUGUUUUCGCUGCAUUGAAGCUGUCUUGAUAAACCCCUUCUUCAUAUCUCCAAAGGAACAUAUCAGGUCCCUGUGAAACAUUAGGAACUGGUUCGAUCUGGACUCUAUGAUGCAGCUCAUGAUAAUGUCGACUCCGUUGGCCCCUUAUCUUCCACUGGCCCUCGGAGACAGCAUCACUCACUCUAGCGUUACGUGGAACCCCAAGAUAACGCGUACCGGUUGCUCCUGUAAUAUUAAUGAGCUUCCCCAUACGUAGCCAGUCGUCGUGCCAGAAAGUUAGAUAGGAAUGAGUACAUAGCGGGUUCAGAACUAUUUCUAACCCUUAACCAUAUCAAUAGCCAAGAUGCCAUGGACCAUUUAUAACUCUCAUAUACUUUUAAGACAUAUAUUAAAGAAGCGACUGGUUCUGUUUUUAAGAUAUUUACCUUCGUAUAUUGGUGAAUCUGCACAUAUAGUAUAAAUGUAUAUGAUAGUGGAAAGUUAGAUGAAAGAAGAGAAGGGUAGAGGGUUAGGUCAAAAGGAAAGGCUGUGAAUUUUAUAAGAACAUUCAAUAAGACUAUAACGGUAACAAGUGUGCGUGUAUGCCUUUUGCAAGGUUUGCGUUGGAGACAAAAUUAAAUUAUUUGUUAUAGUGGGACUUGUUAAACACUUACACCAAAUAGAGAACAUGUUUCUAUACCUACCACUCCCUCUUUUCCUCUCGUCUAAAAUUUCUCACAUUUUGUCUUUAGUUUUUCCUUGUUUUUUGGCUUUUACUUAGCUACCGUCCUUUUCAAUUUCAGAUUUUUUUUUUUGCUAAUAUCAUAACCAACAUAAAGAUAAAAUCAGUUAUAUACUUUAUUUCUCACUACUAUUUUUUAUGUGUCACGACUCACGAUAUAUAAUGUCUAAGGUUUCUGCACAUAAUUUUUUCUAGAUUAAAUCAUCAUUUGCUACUUAUAUCAUCACUAUUCAGCAAAUAAUAAAAUAGUAUCUUUAUAUAUAAAAUACAGUUUAUUCUCUCCUUAGAGAGACACCUCAGCAGACAUGUCACAAAUUCACUCAUUUUCAGGAUGACACAUGUCCCCUUCGGAUGAAACUCACUGUUUCAUUAAGUGAUGUGUUCCGGCAUGAUUUGGGCCUAUUUAAUUACACGUACAUUUUGACGUGUUUUUGGGCUUGGAAAUCAGGUGUGUUCCGUUUCCCUGUGUACAAAGCUCGAUAGCCCAAUAGAGUAAACCCUAAUUGUGUUCUACGUGAAGAAAUGGAAUGUUAGUGUUUUGUCUCUCAUUUUUUUCCGUCUCUCUUCUUUGUUCUGUGGAGACUGCUGAACUUCAUCCCUAAAUCUGAAACGGUCCGAGUUAUGUGUUCUUCAUGUUUAAUCUCUAUUAAUUCAAUAAACCACGAUGAGGCUUUGAAUGUGUGCUUAGAUUCGUUGAGUAAUUGUAUCUGCGAGUAUAAAUAGGUGAUACUCAUGCCAGCCACCGUCUCACCGCGUACAUGCAUCUUUUGAAAGCGAGUUCAAUAUACUCCUUGAGCGGAUUUGAUAUGACUCGGUUCAGUCAGAAUUUCAGACAUGUUCAUCAUCAGAGUUGUGGAGUCAUGAAGUAUCACUUUUCAGGAACGUUCAUUCUUCCCACUUUUGAUAUGGUAGAACAAAAAUAUGUGACAGCUGAGGGUACUGAAUGAUAGUUUUCCUUGAAAGCAAAAUUCUCAAACCCCCAAAAGCUGGAGCCAAAGCUUCUAAAGAAGCAAUAGAAAUGUGGACAGAAGUUUCUCUAGUUUAAUUGUGGCCGCAAAAGACCAAGACCCAUGGAAUUUAGUUAUAUUAUUGCAACUGCUAUCCUACUCUACUCUCUUUGCAAUAUAUGAUCAAUAAUAAAAGCCUCUGGCGACAUGUAUGCAGAACCUUCAGCAAGGAAACCUGGCCAUCAAUCUGCAAAUAACUGCACCGUCCGUGGCUACAGGAAUAUCAGGUAUUUUUGUCCCAAUAGAUAAAUGGUGGAGAGGUGUUGUUGUUAAAAACUGGAAUAUGCCUAAAAUGCAGUUGCUUCCAUCAACAACUCACCCUCACAUGCACAUGAGCUAUUUUGGAAGCUACGUUAUUAGCGGCAUCACAAUCUCUACGACUUGAUUCUUUUCUCUAGACGUGAUUCUUAUCUCCAUACCUCAUUCUUCUCUUAUCAUUUUCAAUAACUGAGGUUUGUUGUUUGAUCUUUGUUUCAAAAGGUAUUUGUAUUUGUUUACUGUUGAGAAAUACGUUACACAUUCAUGUUUAUAUCAAGCUGGCAGAUUCUUCCGUCAACAUUCGCUUUACCAUCCUAAGUAAGUUCGUUGAAAUAACGGCGGUCAUAGCUCAAAUACUGACUAAAUAUAAAUGUUUGGUUUUUCUCACUUGGCCAAACUUCUCGGUAACAAUAUCAUUAACAAACAGAACAAUAACAACAUCAUUACCUUGGUUAUUGGUGAGAAAAGAUUCUGUAGUUUUUGAUGUGUACAUGGUCAUCACCUUAAUUUCAAAUUACUUCUAAGAAGAAAAAAAUACAUGUUGGGUUUAACCAGUAAUAACCAAUAUUUUAAUAAUACAUUAUGCUUUGCUAGCUCCUACUUUAUAAUUCUACGGAGCUAAUACCAAAAAAAAAAGAAGAAC